UUCAACAAAGAUUCCACAGAGAAAAUAUAGGAAGCUUACAUGAACCAGAGCUGAGUUCCUGUACUUAGUUAUGUGUGAUUCAGGAACAGUUCUGGAGCAAAAAGCAUGAAUUAAACACAGACCCUGCCCUCAAGGAACUUCAAGUCUAAUAGCAGAGGUGAACCAGUGCAUAUCGCUUAUACUCAUGGAAGACCAAGGGAAAAGAAGAAGGAUGUUGAAAGAACAAGAUUAGAAGACCAGCAAUGAUGAAGUUUAAGGAAGAGACACAUGGAUACACCGAUGAUAAAGGGCACAGAAAUUGAGAAUUGAUUUGGCGGUGGCUGCUUAAAUGAGUAGGUCCCUGUACAGAAGGAAACAGCAUCUGGUGCAGUCCCUCUUCAGGGCUGAAGAUCAAGCACGCACUCCACUGGAGACCCUCUGUGAUCCCAGCACUUCCCUGGGCUGGAGCAGGUCACACUCCCUUGGUCUGAUUAACUUUUGGCGAUCCAUCACCAACUGGACUGGAACUUUCUCUGAGCUUAGAAACAGACAUGCUGUCGACAGACGUGCUGUCUACAGACAACACAAGUGACUUCUUUGUACUUCAAAAGCUCUUCUACAUGCUAUCCCUGACUUCUAAUCUUCCUAGGGCACCAUCAGAAGGAAGUCGGUGAAGUGAGGAGAAGAGAUGAAGGACAGAAAUGGUUUCUGCUGCCUAGCAGUAUCAUGAUGUGGCAUAACCAUUCUCUAGGCCUGACACAUGCCUUACGUCUGCUUCCUGGAGAUUCCCAAGCAGCAGUUAUGUUAAUGUGAGCUAUGUCUUCUCUAGCUGACCACCUACUGCUCCCCUCAGCUAUUGAUUCCCUGCAGCCCACCCUUUCUCUUUGCUACCAAUGCCUCUCACUCCUGGACAGCCCAUAUCUUGACCAUGAAAAACACCCAUGUAUUCUUUUGUUCUGAAAAAAAGUGAUGAGUAUUUCAAAAGAGCCACUUCUCCUCUAGGACACCAAGUACACAGGCCUGGUUUCUAUCUAUGUAUGACAUCUUGCUUGGCCACAGGUAAGAGAAGCUUGGCUUCUCUCCUGAGAAGGUAGGCACAGAGCACAGACCACAGACCACAGAGCACAACUCUCCCUUGGACUCUUCAGAAAGGAACUCUUUUAUAUGAUGCAUCGUUAGUAAUGACUGGCGGCCAAUUGUAGUCAAGCCUGCUCUUCAGCUACUCCUCAAGAAGUCCUGUAUAGCUAACCUAGCAGUUCAUGUUAGCAUGUGGGUACUUGGUGUCAUUGUACAUUCUUUUGGCACCUUGAUCCAUCUGAGAGACAGAAACUAAGACUCAUUUCCACAUUUAUAUGGAUUGAACAUACCCAGAUAUUUAAGGAUAUGUAAACACUGGAUGUUUAUUUAACAAAUGUUAUCAGUAGUUAUCACUAGCAAGUAGAAUUACAUUGAGUGUUGCUUUCUUUUCUUGUGUCUUUUUACUUACCUAUAUUUUCUCUUUUUUUUCGUAACAUACAUAUAUUAUUUAUAUAUUUUUUAAUUCUCUUGUAAAUCUUAAAAUACAGGUAUUUCCUGGUGAUGGGGAAAAACAUCCCUAAAGAUUGUAUACAAAUUUUAUGCUGAAAGAAAAAUGAUGUACAAAAUGAAUAAUGUAAACACAUCUCCUCACUUGCCCCCCCAACUACUAAGGAUUUAUAGUCUGGUUAGAGUUACAUAUAUGUUAAAUGUUCACAGCUCUACAUUUGUCUCUAAAAUGCAGACUGGCAACUAGAUGGAUGUUUAAUAAGAAAGUAUGCACAAAACCCCACCUGGAUUUCAAGACAGUAUAAUUUUAUUUCCUUUCUAUUUUCUGCUCAAUGUCUUUGGCUGAUAGCCGUGCAAUAAAAUCUUUCUUAAAUCUGUUUGGUGGUCAUAUUUUAAGAGCUAGUUUUAUAUACUAGUAUAUAUACUAGUAUAUACUAAAGAAUCAUAUUUUUAUGGUAUCUUCUGCCAUGAUUGAGAGUUUUUCUCAUCAGCAAUAAGCUCAGGUACAAAAUAUUUAAAUCACUGUUCUAAAUAAGUGACUUACAAAUUAUUUUAUCCUUUCAUCCAUCCAUCCAUCCAUCCAUCCAAUUAUCCAUUUAUUUCCCUAAUAUUUAUAGAGUGACCAGGCCCUGUGACAAGUGUAAAGUGCAAUACAUACUUAUAUAAAUCAUGGUUUCUUGUCCCAAAGAACUUAUUUCUUAUAGAAAAAGAAGACCUAGAGUAGAAGGAAUUCAAUACACAGAUAAAUACUUUAUCAAUGUAAGAUUAUAGAACAAUGAUAUACUUUGAGCUGUGGUCAAAGAUUUAGAAGAAUAAAAGUGACAAUCUUUCCAACAAAGAAUCACAUUUUUUAUGGGUUUUUUUUUUUUGAAAAUUGUAUAUUGUUAUGGCUUUAUGGGAACUUUAUAGCUGGUGUUGGCAACCUAUUUUCAUUUAAUGCUUCUGGUUUUUUAAUGUAUAAUAUUAAAAAUAAAGGAUAUCUUAUCAAUAAUUAUGUAUUAUAAGCUGAACUGUGGUCCCCAAAAUUCAUAUGUUGAAGUCCUAACCCUCAGUACCUCAGAAUGUGACUGUAAUUGGACAUAGGGCCUUUAAAAGGAUAAGGGUAAAAGAGGUCAUAUAGGUAAACCCUAAUGCAAUCUGCUUGACUGGUAUCCUUAUAAAAAGAGAACACUGAAAGAUACAAAAAGAUGUUAGGAAUACCCAUGCACAGAGAAAAGUUCAUGUGUAUAUGAGGUCCUAAAGAGAAGGCAGCCAUCCACAAGCGAAAAACAUGUAUUUCAGGAGAAACCAUAUCUUGCUGAUACCCUAGUCUUAGAAUUUUAGCCUCUGGACUGCCCCAGUCUGUGGUAUCUUUUUAUGGAAGCCACAGCAAACUAAUAUAGUAUCUGAUCAUAAAAAAUAGAGUUAAUAACAAAAUUUCCAUAAACAUUUAUUUGUGAUUAAUAAAGAAAUAUUAUCAUAAUGAUUCUGGUCUUCUUUUCAUAAAAAGAAGUAAGCUGACAGUGGACUGCCCAUGUUGUAAUGAACAACCUAAUGACAAUAUGACAAGAGUAAUGAAAGACGAGCACAACUCUGCCAGCAUUUACCAGAUGUCAUUCUUACUGCACUUGAGGCCAUUCUUUU